GUCCUGGCAAGUCUCAAGUAGCAUGAGCAAUAGAGCUCUUGUUGAAAUUGACCGAAGUUGUCCUUUAACUUAGGAAUCUAUACAUUAUACCAAAGGUGUCUGUCAUCAAGAGGAAAAAAAAAAGACAUUGAUAUGUCAAUAGACAGAGUGUAGUGUCUAAUGUCUAUAGGCCUUAAGGUUCACUCUCCCAUAAUUCAAAGGAACCAACUUUCUUUUAAAAGUCUGACCAUGCUGAGCAUAAAUCAGAAUGUUAACACUGAACAUUUUGGGUUGCACUACAUGUUUCAGGUAGUCAAUGUAUUUCCAUACAUUGAAAAUGCAAUGGAAACACAUUACAGAAACAUGACUCUCCAUGAGCUAGGGGAAGGUGUAAUGCAAUUUGCAAUGUUUGGAAAUACACUGACUACCUGAAACAUGUAGUGCAAAAUUUUCAAUGUAAACAUUUUAAUUCAUGUUAAGCAUGAUGGGACCUUUAAAAAAAUCUAUAUAUUUUUUUUAAAGUUGGAUUAUGUGGGGGGUUCACGGUUGGCCCCUUAGCUCCCCGCCUACCAGUUAAACUUUAAUUAAUGGAAAACUGUAACCCGUAUUCUCACCUUUUUUGUCUUUUCCUUUGUACUGAUUUGACUAGUUGAGAUGGUUGUAUCAUUUAUAGUAGUAUGUGUUUCUUCUCUCUUCUGUUAACCUAGAUGUUUCUUCUCUAUUAAUCCGGAGAAGGGGACAAAAGUGGAACAAACAAAAACAAAACGGCUCUAUGUGAAUCCAAGAGUCCUUACUUUGAUUCAGGACCUCUCAGACCAUGAAUGGUGAGCUAUUUAAAAAGUUGUUCCUUCAGGUGACCAUGAACACCCAUUUUUAUCUAGAUGUUCUUCUAGAAGCAAUGCAGUUGCAUCUUAAUCAAGCCUUUACCAUGAUUCACAAGCUCUCCAUGAACAGCGAGCUAUUUAAAAAGUUGUUCCUUCAAGUGGCCGUGAACACCCAUGUUUCUCUAGAUGUUCUUCUAGAAGCAAUGCAGUUGCAUGUUAAUCAAGCCUUUACCAUGAUUCACAAGCUCUCCAUGAAUGGCGAGCUAUUUAAAAAGUUGUUCCUUCAAGUGGCCGCGAUAGUGAACACCCAUAUGUUUCUCUAGAUGUUCUUCUGGAAGCAAUGCAGUUGCAUGUUAAUCAAGCCUUUACCAUGAUUCACAAGCUCUCCAUGAAUGGCGAGCUAUUUAAAAAGUUGUUCCUUCAAGUGGCCGCGAUAGUGAACACCCAUAUGUUUCUCUAGAUGUUCUUCUGGAAGCAAUGCAGUUGCAUCUUAAUCUAAGCUUCUGUAACUUGAUUCAUGACCUUUUCAACCAUGAAUGGCGAGCUGUUUGAAAAGUUGUUCCUUCAGGUGACCAUGAACACCCAUGUUUAUCUAGAUGUUCUUCUAGAAGCAAUGCAGUUGCAUCUUAAUCAAGCCUUUACCAUCAUUCACAAGCUCUCCAUGAAUGGCGAGCUAUUUAAAAAGGUGUUCCUUCAAAGUGAUGGAGCCGAUGAACACCUAUAUCACCUUUUUUCGUGGCUCGCUAUUAACAAGGUUCACAUUUAUUCACUCACUCACUACCACACCUCACUCAUAAUUCCUCUCUCUCACAAACACAAGUGCAACCACACACACACACACACACACUUUAAUGAUCUCUUUCUCAUAAUUUUUUCAACAAUAAAUUUGCAUUAUUGUGAAUUGUA